CAAUAGCGUAUAUUAAAGUUGUUGCAGUUAAAAAGCUCGUAGUUGGAUUUCUGGGAGGGUGCCAAUGUCCGUCAACGUGCGUGUGCAGCGGCGCCCUUCCAUCCUUCUGUUAACGCCUCUUGGCAUUCGUUUGCUGGUGGCGGGCUCAGAUAUUUUACCUUGAGAAAAUUAGAGUGUUUCAGGCAGGCUAGGCCGGAAUACAUUAGCAUGGAAUAAUGGAACAGGACUAUGGUCUCUUUGUUGGUUUGAGGGACUGCAGUAAUGAUUAAUAGGGACAGUUGGGGGCAUUAGUAUUUAAUUGUCAGAGGUGGAAUUCUCAGAUUUGUUAAAGACUAACUUAUGCGAAAGCAUUUGCCAAGGAUGUUUUCAUUAA
rnacentral:rRNA from 1 species